rnacentral:lncRNA from 1 species
GGGGACUGGAGGGGUCUGGGCGAAGGGGGUCACGGCCUGGGGGACGCAGCGGGCAGUCCUCGGAGUCCAGGACUGCCGGCACCUGCUGAGCGCGGCUUGAAGACCCCUGACGGGACCUAAGGUGGCCUCUUGCUCACCUUGGAGAAUAACAAUCUCUGAUGUCUGGCAAUAACAGAAAUGCUUCCAGUGGUCUUCUUUCGUCCAUCCUGACAAUGACCAGGGAAGGUCACCAGCACCUCUGGUGGGCGAGAGAUGUGAUCACUUAUUCCGUGUCCCAACCAGGGACCCGUAAGGUAAGACACAGCAAGAUACUCCUUGGAUGUGCUAAGAAAGUGAUCUUCCAUGCCCACUGCCCGCACCUUCAGCCCAGAGCAGAGUUCUUGGGUCCUUGCCCUUGAGUUCUUGCCCUUGAGACUAGCUCAGAUCUCUCCUUUGCUUUCUUUCUUUUUGUUUUUGAAGGAAUUUAGUCCCUGAUCUCCUCACCGGUUAUCACUUUCCAUUUAACAACAAGCCUUUAUUUAACACCAACUGUGUGCCCCGCACUGUGUUCACUCCCAGAGACUGUCCUUGGGCUGCUCACAGCCUGGCAAGGAACAGACUCUAAACACAUCUGGGAGAGUGGCUGCCACCAGUCAGCCUAUGGUGCCAGGUGUUCAUGCUUCCUCUUGCUCAGAACUACUUCUUUGAGCUGGAGUUCCUGUUGUGGCUCAGUGGGUUAAGAACCUGACCAGUAUCCAUGAGGUUGCGGGUUUGAUCCCUGGCCUCGUUCAGUGGGUUAAGGAGCCGGUGUUGCUGUGGCUGUGGUGUAGGAUGGCAGCUGCAGCUCUGAUUCAAUUCCCUACCCUGGAAACAUCCAGAUGCCUCAGGUAUGGCCCUAAAAAAUAAUAAUAAUAAUAACUCUUUG